rnacentral:tRNA from 2 species
ACCCCGGUAGCUCAGCAGGACAGAGCAGCGGACUUCUAAUCCGCAGGUCGCGCGUUCGAAUCGCGCCCGGGGUGCCA